rnacentral:rRNA from 1 species
AACGAACGCUGGCGGCAUGCCUAACACAUGCAAGUCGAACGAAGCCUUCGGGCUUAGUGGCGCACGGGUGCGUAACGCGUGGGAAUCUGCCCCUUGCUUCGGAAUAACAGUUAGAAAUGACUGCUAAUACCGGAUGAAGUCUUCGGACCAAAGAUUUAUCGGCAAGGGAUGAGCCCGCGUAGGAUUAGGUAGUUGGUGGGGUAAAGGCCUACCAAGCCGACGAUCCUUAGCUGGUCUGAGAGGAUGAUCAGCCACACUGGGACUGAGACACGGCCCAGACUCCUACGGGAGGGAGCAGUGGGGAAUAUUGGGCAAUGGGCGGAAGGCUGAUGCAGCCAUGCCGCGUGAGUGAUGAAGGCCUUAGGGUUGUAAAGCUCUUUUACCAGGGAUGAUAAUGACGGUACCUGGAGAAUAAGCCCCGGCUAACUCCGUG